AACGAACGCUGGCGGCAGGCUUAACACAUGCAAGUCGAGCGCGUAGCAAUACGAGCGGCAGACGGGUGAGUAACGCGUGGGAACGUACCCUUUUCUACGGAAUAACGCAGGGAAACUUGUGCUAAUACCGUAUACGCCCUUUUGGGGAAAGAUUUAUCGGGGAAGGAUCGGCCCGCGUUGGAUUAGCUAGUUGGUGGGGUAAAGGCCUACCAAGGCGACGAUCCAUAGCUGGUCUGAGAGGAUGAUCAGCCACAUUGGGACUGAGACACGGCCCAAACUCCUACGGGAGGCAGCAGUGGGGAAUAUUGGACAAUGGGCGCAAGCCUGAUCCAGCCAUGCCGCGUGAGUGAUGAAGGCCCUAGGGUUGUAAAGCUCUUUUGUCCGGAAAGAAAAGCAUCUGGUUAAUACCCGGGUGUUCUGACGGUACCGGAAGAAUAAGCACCGGCUAACUUCGUGCCAGCAGCCGCGGUAAGGCACGACUGU
rnacentral:rRNA from 1 species